GACGAAGGUGGCGAGCGUUACUCGGAAUUACUAGGCGUAAAGCGUGGGUAGGUGGUUCGGUAAGUCUGUUGUGGAAGCUCCCGGCUUAACCGGGAGAGGCCAAUGGAAACUACCGGACUUGAAUGUGGGAGGGGUCACUGGAAUUCCUGGUGUAGCGGUGAAAUGCGUAGAGAUCAGGAGGAACACCAAAGGCGAAAGCAGGUGACUGGACCACUAUUGACACUGAGCCACGAAAGCUAGGGGAGCAAAC
rnacentral:rRNA from 1 species